rnacentral:rRNA from 1 species
GACGAACGCUGGCGGCGUGCCUAAUACAUGCAAGUAGAACGCAGUUGCGAACGGGUGAGUAACGCGUAGGUAACUGCUUGGUAGCGGGGGAAAACUAUUGGGAACGAUAGCUAAUACCGCAUACUGACAGAUGGAACUGCGUUGUAUUAGCUAGUUGGGGGGGUAACGGCUCAGCCAGGCAACGAUACAUAGCCGACCUGGGAGGGGUGUCGGCCAAACUGGGACUUUGACACGGCCCAGACUCCUACGGGAGGCAGCAGGAGGGGAACUUCGGCAAUGGGCGGAAGUCUGACCGAGCAACGCCGCGUGAGUUAAGAAGGUUUUCGGAUCGUAAAGCUCUGUUGUAAGAGAAGCGUUAUCUUACCAGAAAGGGACGGCUAACUACGUGCCAGCCGCCGCGGUAAUAC